UAUUUUAUUCAAGAAACCAUGUCCAAGGUGGGUCAAAGCGUUCACACGAAAGAAACUGUCGUAUAUGCUCCAAUAAGAAACUGUCGAAAUAAAUCAAAUCUACCUCAAAAAGGGCAGAACUCUCUCUCAACCCGCGGAACAAGAAAAUAGCCAAGCAGUUUGAUGUUCGCCGGGAAGGAGGCUUCUACGCCUCCCUUCCUCAGUGGUGGUGCCUCCUAGUCUUUUAGGCUAUGGAGUCUUUUGUUUCCUCCAUGGAGGUUCAUCUCGAGGCGUUCGGUGGAGAGUUUUGUUAUCGUUUCGUCUCGCCGGUGGAGCGUUUUUGUGCCUAAUCUGUUCAACUUUUUGAUGCUAGAUCUACACUUAUCCAUCGGCUUCUUAGAGACACACGCCGCUCAGAUGGGUUCACCUGUGUUUUCUAGUUCCACCGCUGUUUGUUCCGGCCGUAGGGGUCAUCAGUGACCGGCGCGUGAUCGUCACCCGCCAGGGAAGUCUUCUCUUCGACCAGCGCGUGGAGGUCUUGCUCCGUCGUUUUUCGCCGUGCAAAGGCGAUGGCCGGGCACUGGGUGGCUAAUCUGUUGUUUGGCAGCUUUGGGGGAGGCGCGUGUUGUACACGCGCCGGUCUCCAGCGACGACAGUGCCCUCCUCCAACGACUUGGGUUGAAUUUCUGUUAAAUGUGUUUGUGUAUUCUCUAGUUACUAUAUACAGUUGCUUAUGUGUGGCUCAAGUUUUACUGGAAUUUUAUUUGUUAGGGGGCUGAUUUGUAAUUUUAGUAAAAUUUGAGAUUCUGCAUAGGUAAUUGUUUUUUAAGCUAGAUCCUUCUAGCUUAAGAGUGUGGGAGGUAUGUCCCUCAUUUCUCAUGAUGUAGCCUGUGAGCUUUCAUAUGUUAUAAUAGCACAUACUAUUAGUUCAAAAAAAAAAGAAACUGUCGAAUAUCCUCCAAUAAGACUUUUUUAUUCUUCCACAAA